GGUAAGGGCCCACCAAGGCGACGAUCCCUAGCUGGUAGUCGAGGAUGAUCAGCCACACUGGAACUGAGACACGGUCCAGACUCCUACGGGAGGCAGCAGUGGGGAAUAUUGCACAAUGGGCGCAUGCCUGAUGCAGCCAUGCCGCGUGUGUGAAGAAGGCCUUCGGGCCGUAAAGCACUUUCAGUCGUGAGGAAGGUAGUGUAGUUAAUAGCUGCAUUAUUUGACGUUAGCGACAGAAGAAGCACCGGCUAACUCCGUGCCAGCAGCCGCGGAAUUACGGAGGGUGCGAGCGUUAAUCGGAAUUACUGGGCGUAAAGCGCAUGCAGGUGGUUUGUUAAGUCAGAUGUGAAAGCCCGGGGCUCAACCUCGGAAUUGCAUUUGAAACUGGCAUCAGAGAGUACUGU
rnacentral:rRNA from 1 species